rnacentral:rRNA from 1 species
UGGGGAAUUUUGGACAAUGGGGGCAACCCUGAUCCAGCAAUGCCGCGUGAGUGAAGAAGGCCUUCGGGUUGUAAAGCUCUUUUGUCGGGGAAGAAAAGGCGUUUUUUAAUAAAAGGCGCUGAUGACGGUACCUGAAGAAUAAGCACCGGCUAACUACGUGCCAGCAGCCGCGGUAAUACGUAGGGUGCAAGCGUUAAUCGGAAUUACUGGGCGUAAAGCGUGCGCAGGCGGUAUGUUAAGUCAGAUGUGAAAUCCCCGGGCUCAACCUGGGAAUGGCAUUUGAGACUGGCAGGCUGGAGUGUGUCAGAGGGGGGUAGAAUUCCACGUGUAGCAGUGAAAUGCGUAGAUAUGUGGAGGAACACCGAUGGCGAAGGCAGCCCCCUGGGAUAACACUGACGCUCAUGCACGAAAGCGUGGGGAGCAAACAGGAUUAGAUACCCGGGUAGUCC